AAUUUUCGAAAUGUGUGAAGUUUGAGAACGGGUUGCGUCCUGAGAUCAAACAGGCUAUUGGAUAUCAGCGGAUCAGAGUGUUUUCUGACUUGGUUGACUGUUGCAGGAUUUUGAACAGGAUUCCAAAGCCAGAGCAGAGAGCUGUCAGCAGAGGGUUGAUAGGAAAGGCAAGAAUCAGAAUGAUCGUGGAAAACCGUAUGCAGCUGGCAAAGGUUUUCAGAAGCAGAGUGGGAUGAAGAGGC
rnacentral:lncRNA from 1 species